rnacentral:rRNA from 1 species
CCUACGGGAGGCAGCAGUGAGGAAUAUUGGUCAAUGGGCGCGAGCCUGAACCAGCCAAGUCGCGUGAGGGAAGACGGUCCUAUGGAUUGUAAACCUCUUUUGUCGGGGAGCAAAAGACGCCACGCGUUGCGUUCCGAGAGUACCCGAAGAAAAAGCAUCGGCUAACUCCGUGCCAGCAGCCGCGGUAAUACGGGGGAUGCGAGCGUUGUCCGGAUUUAUUGGGUUUAAAGGGUGCGCAGGCGGAAGAUCAAGUCAGCGGGAAAAUUGAGAGGCUCAACCUCUUCGAGCCGUUGAAACUGGUUUUCUUGAGUGAGCGAGAAGUAUGCGGAAUGCGUGGUGUAGCGGUGAAAUGCAUAGAUAUCACGCAGAACUCCGAUUGCGAAGGCAGCAUACCGGCGCUCAACUGACGCUCAUGCACGAAAGUGUGGGUAUCGAACAGGAUUAGAUACCCGGGUAGUC